rnacentral:lncRNA from 1 species
UUUUUCUCUUUCUUACAGUAUUGUUUAUAUGUUAAAACUCUCUGUGGGGAGUAUUGAUAUUUUGUUACUCCACAACAGGUUUUCUUCUGGACAGGGGAGGAUCCAGGGAAAGGGAGCCAAACUCCAGUUACCCUUCCCAGUGAAUUCUGGCUACUGCGUAAAGGAAUUUAAGAGCAUGCGGAGCGUGCAAGCGGACGGUCAGGCAGGGUGUGGAAGAGCGUCCUCGCGUUCUCCAGGCUCCCACAAGUGAAAACUAAGAUCUCUGGAAAUGGCCAAUGGUCCCAUGGACAAGAGGCAUCAGGUAGAUAAUCAGCCUUGCACCUUGCACAGCUGGGCUGUGGUCGGCAAGCACCUGAGGACCCUUGAGGGCAGGGGGAAAUGGGCCUGGAGGAAAUAGAGUUGGCCCCAUGGACUCAAGGAGGGUUUGACAGAGUUUCUGGUCAAGUUUUCUUUUUUCUUUUUUUAAGAUUUUAUUUAUCUGAGAGAGAGGGUGAGGAAGUGACAGAGAGCGAGAGAGCAAGCAUGACCAGGGGAAGAGGGAGAAGACUCCACACUGAAUAGGAGGCCUGAUGCCGGUGUGGAUGCUGGGCUGGAUGCAAGGCUCAAUCCCAGGGCCCUGGGAUCAUGACCUGAGCUAAAUUCAGAUGCUUAACCGACUGAGCCACCCAGACGCC